ACCUGGCCUGCUCGGCUUACGGGGCUCUGCCGUUCGUGGCGGCGCCGGGCGCGGUGCUGGCCGAGGUGCGCCGGGUGCUGCGGCCCGGCGGCAGGUUC
rnacentral:tRNA from 1 species